AUAUUUAGGAAAAAUUUUGGUCUGUUUUUCUAAUUUUAAAGGAAAAUAGUUAAAAGGGAAUCAGGUGUAAAUCCUGAACAGGCCCGCUACUGUAAGUUCUAUUGAGUCUUUAGACGGUAUUUUACCACUGUUUCGAUAAGAAAUGGGAAGGUUGUUUAAAGAUGGAACGAGUCAGGAUACCUGCCAAGAUUAAUUAGUUAAA
rnacentral:ncRNA from 2 species